UUUCGACUGGAACCUUCAGACCUGCAGCACACAGAGAGCACUUUCGCACUUUUCCACACCUGACUCUGAGACGGCCAUUGCUACUCAGGAGUGUCUGGACUUCAUUUCUGCACACUGCAAAGUUAGAAGACUGGAGGUCCAAGUGCUCUAGGAAUGCUAGAAAACAGGCAGAAUGUCAAGCAAGAAGCAAGAAGGGAGUCCAGACUUGGCCUUUAAAGGAAAAAACACCUGAGGGCUGGAAAUGUACAAAUAAGAAAACUGAGGCUCAGAAAGGAUCUUUUUAAACCUUACACAGGUAUUACACAACGAAGUCAGAAGACAUAGAUUUUGGGCACCCCGGGUAUAGAAGUCACUCUGAAGCCAAAGAUAAGGCCAUCAAAACUACGGAGAAAAGCUAAGCGAGAUGUCUGCAGAACCACAGGGAAACCUAACACUGCAGAGCAGUGAGUAUUCAGGAACCUAGCAGAUGGCUAGGGUGCUUUGUAAACUGCUACGUGUACGGCACUCAACAGAUAUUCAAUAAGCUCCAAUCACAUGAGCAGCUAAAGGGAAGAUAGCUCUCAACAGGAUUUCUGUAUCUGUGAUAGACACAAGGACUCAUUCUCAAACUUAAGAAAAAAAAGAAUCUACUUUCUCAAAAGAAUUCUUAGAUAAAACUCUGAGAUUUAAAGUGCAUCUCAGAGUAUAACAGGAACCAAUGAUCUGGAACUUGUGUUGACUCAAAUUCUUUCUCUCUGAUAAUAUUUCUUUUGGACAUUUAGAAUAAUACCUGGGACAAUUCUAUGCAACUCCAAAAACAAAAAUGCUAGAAAUCCUUUGAUUUAGUAAUCAGGUGACUUCAUUUUGGACUCCUUGAGUACAGUGUUAAAGAAUAGGUAACUGUUGAUUUGAACAUAUUAAACUUAGA